AAGCGUUUGCGACCAGACCUUCUCCAGGGGGAUCAACCGCUGUUCUCAGCGGUGCACUCCCCCUGGUUUAGGCCAGCAUCGGUUCUCUUAGGGGGAUAAAGGCCUGGGGAACGUAGCUCUUUAGGGAGUGUUAUAGCCCCUAGCGUAAUACCCUUCAGGGGACCGAGGACCGCGCUUCGGCAAGGAUGCUGGCGUAAUGGUCGUCAACGA
rnacentral:rRNA from 1 species